rnacentral:rRNA from 1 species
GAUGAACGCUGGCGGCGUGCCUAAUACAUGCAAGUCGAGCGAACAGACGAGGAGCUUGCUUCUCUGACGUUAGCGGCGGACGGGUGAGUAACACGUGGAUAACCUACCUAUAAGACUGGGAUAACUUCGGGAAACCGGAGCUAAUACCGGAUAAUAUUUUGAACCGCAUGGUUCAAUAGUGAAAGACGGUCUUGCUGUCACUUAUAGAUGGAUCCGCGCUGCAUUAGCUAGUUGGUAAGGUAACGGCUUACCAAGGCAACGAUGCGUAGCCGACCUGAGAGGGUGAUCGGCCACACUGGAACUGAGACACGGUCCAGACUCCUACGGGAGGCAGCAGUAGGGAAUCUUACGCAAUGGGCGAAAGCCUGACGGAGCAACGCCGCGUGAGUGAUGAAGGUCUUCGGAUCGUAAAACUCUGUUAUUAGGGAAGAACAAAUGUGUAAGUAACUGUGCACAUCUUGACGGUACCUAAUCAGAAAGCCACGGCUAACUACGUG